AUUUUUUUAGGGCCCAUAUUCUCUCUCUCUGAGGGCUUAUUUGGUUCAUCUAUUUUGGAUAUGGAAUGAGAAUCGAUUUGAUGAAAUCUGAUUAAUUUUGUUUGGUUCGCAGUAAUCUGUUUGGGAUUCCUAUUCCGGAUUGGAAUAGGAAUAACCCAUCAGCCUUCAACUUGAUUUCGAUCUCCUAGCCCGGAUUGAGAUUUCAUUCCCGAAACCCACUAGUUCCCGAAGCCCAUGAAACCAUCUCAUCCUCCUCUCUCUGUAUACGAUCUCUCACCCUUUUCUCAUCAAAAAAAAAAAAAAAAAAAAAAAAAAAAAAAAAAAAAAAAACCUAUCCCAUAUUUUUUUAUAAUUUUUUCUUGUAUAAAAGUUUUUAAAAAUAAAUUUGAUAUUUUUUUGUUGGAAAACUUAUUAGAGAAUAGUAUUAUAUUUUUCAUAAAUUUUAAAUAAUAUAAAAUUAUAUUUGAGAGUUAAAUUUGUAUUAUGGUUUUCUAUAAUUUUUUAGUUUAUAUGAAUCAAACAAUGAAAUGGGAAUAACUCAUUCCAACUUUCAAUCCACAAAUGAACCAAACGUGUUGGGAGAGUGGGCCAAUCCAAUUACCAUUCAAAUUCAUUCAUAUUCCAUUACCCAUUCCAAUUCUACCGUUGAACCAAACAAGCCCUAAUUUUCUAUACCUUUUUAUUAAUUCUCAAUAUCUAAA
rnacentral:lncRNA from 1 species